GUAUAAUCCCCGCCCCUUUUCAGACAAGUUUUUUUUUUUUUUUUUUAAAGCCAAGUUGUGGACAAAAUGUCUGCCGACAAGUAGCUUAACCGAGGCGGGAGCUCCACUUCAUAAUUUGAGGGCUUCAGCGGAGAAUAUAAGAACACUUUCAAUGCAACAAGGGUCGCGCUGCCGCCAUGGGUCUCCCCCGCAGGACGCGGCACCUGAGCGGCCACACAGCGGUGCCUUUCUCGUCCCGACAGCCAAGCAGCCUGGAGCACUCGUUCCAUUGCGAGGUUGCACCGCACACAUGCAACGUUUCAGUUCAUGGACAUCGGGGCAAAAGGAGGAAAAUGUCAUUAGACAUUAUUUAUUUCUAAAUGAUUGUUGAAUCACACGAAAUAGUCACCACACAGCUGCAUGACCAUUUCAACAAAGACGGAAUAAACAACCUCUGGAUUCAUGGAACUUCUCUGCACACAAAUAUAUUAAUUGGAAUAUUCAAUAAAUUUCACAUAAACAUUAAA